AAUGACAACAUGGAUGCUUUUCCCCUGCAGAAACAGAAAGUUUCAGGUUAUUUACCAAGGGCUAUUUAUAUGUUUUUACUGAGCAUAAUCAAUAUCUAGAGGUAAUCUGAUCUUUCCACUGUUUUUCAAAGGUAGAUCAGAGGGAAAAACAGUGGGAAUGUUUACCCUCUUGUAAACAUUCCCACUUUUAUCAUGAUAUAACCGUAAAGAAUAUAAAAUAUUUCACUGGGAUUUUAUAUGAAAGAGCAGCACAAAAAGCUCCUUUAUGCCACAAAAUGACUAACCUAUGGUGUCGUUCUGGGUCGCAACUCGGACCAAGUGAACAUAAUGAGUGGCAGUGAGUGUUUUUACAUCACUGUGGGGAAUUCUGGCCGACGUUUCUGUGCAGAAAUAUUUUUUUAAUGUAUUUUAGAGCAUGAAUCAUUCUUUUAAAGACCAUGCAUCUAUUUGUUUUGAGCAUUUAAGUACAGACUUUGAUUAAGUCACAUCAUAUAUUUUCAAGCCAUUCAUUGGACUUGCUGUUGUGCUUUGGAUCAUUUCCCAGCUUCACGAUGUUUUAGACGUUGCGAAGCUGCAACUCUGUUCAGGAACGCUGUAUCUUAUCAUUCCACCGCUCGUUUUCAUGCUCUCAAAUGAAACCAGUUUUUCCAUCUCCAGUGACACUCUUCUGCGCAUUGAGCAGGAAAAGUGUCUCUCAGCAGCUCAUGUUUCACAGAGGGUAGAAAGAGCUGCAAAGACUCUUUGUUUUUUUCCUCUUUUUGCACGAUUCCCACUGAAGGCAGUGAAACUUACCUGAGUCUUAAAGCUGGAACGCAGCUAAAGACUUGAUUAGAUAAAACUGAGCUCUAAACAUCUUGUGUCAACGGAAGCCAACACCCAGUUAUGUGAAAGUUUUCAGACAAUAAACAUCCUUCAGAGCUGAGGCUGCCUGCUAUUUAUAGAUCAUCAACUGAGAGGCGUUCUUUUAAAGCAGGGAAUUUGACCUUUAUUUACCUCAAAAGGCAUAUCUUGUGGUUUAAAAAUAGCAUGGAGUGCCAUGUGGCGGACACUGCAAACACAAGAAGGUGUUCUGGUCUGAUUUAUCCAAGUAUUGUGUCAAUAAUACAGUAACUUUUUUCUGCUCAGUUGGAAGGUAUGACUGUAGUAAAGGUAAUUCAAGUCAAAAUGGGCUGUGCAUGUGAUGAAAAUUUACCCUAAAAGUGUGUGAUUUUCUUCGUUGAGGAUUCUGAUUGCUCAUUUCCCCAGGCGGGAGCGUCUUUAAAGCGUGGUAACAAGGAUGAAGUGGACAUGCGUGUAAUAUUCGACCUUUUCAAAGUGAAACCAGUUCAAAGCCUCUCUUAGUAUUACCCCCGUGUGCCGAGGACAAAUGGACUCCCUGGCUCUGUGCCACCAGCAACACUUGAGCUCACAUGAUGCCAGUUUUAGACAGCUGGAUGUGUGUGUGCGUGCGUGGGUGUGUAGGUGUGUGUGUGUGUCCAUGACUGCGUCAGCAGACGCUUACAUAAUCAGCUCUUUACGGUAAAGCUGCUCUGAAGUCACGUGUUCUUCUGUAUCAUCUGCACCAGUAUCAUCUUGAUAAACAUUGAUUUUUAUGAAAUGUUCUGAGAGGUUAUGGGGCGUUAGAUUUGAGUCCAGUGAGGUGAAAACACUGAGAAAGUUUGAUUCUCACUUUAUAUUCAGGCCUGGUUUCACGUUGAUCCAUUAAUAUUUGAUGUUAAAUCUAAGUAAAUAUGUCAUUUCUGCUUUUACCACCAGUUUUAGUUGAACAGCAUCGAUCUGAGAGAGCAGAGUUUGUACGCCAAAAGCAGAAACUAAUCUAACAAUGUUGUCCUGUUUUGUAGAAAGUUUGGUGAAACUCUAUCAGGGAACACCAAAUAUUUAGAAACAAAUUUUUUUAUUCCAGAUUCGCAAAUUUAACGUCAUUGUAUGAUUAUCAGACACUGUAGAGCAAAAAAAAAAAAAAAAAAAACAACCUUCCAUUACAUCCUGCAAAAGGAAGCAGAUUGAAAUAUUAUCUUUAAGUUGACUGAGAGUCAAAAGAUAUAUUUUCUACAAGUACCAAAUCAUUUGAAUCAAACACGGAAUAUUACAGUGAUCAGAAAAACUGAGCCAGUAAAAGAAAUUCUUACAUUUCUACCACUUUAUUAACAGAAAUGGUCACAUUUAUUGUCACCCACAGUGGAUGUGAGUUUAAUGCAAUGUGUUCACUGGGGAAGAAAUAACAGAUCAUUUAUAGGACAGCAAUCAGUCUCGUCCUACAUCUUUUUAUCGAGUGGUAAUAUUCAGAGAGAGCGAUCUCUGAUUAUUCCUCUGUGUCUCUUUAGAUCCUCCUCAGGUUUUCAGAAGGUUUUAGGUCUGGAUGCUUAGAUAGUCCUGAAAAAAGGUUAAUUUUGUGUCAGGCGAAUCAUUUCUGAGUGGAUUUGGUCACACGUUCUGUAUCAUUAUCUUGCUGAAAGGCCUAACCGUGAUGAAGCUUCAGUUUAAGUAUAUAUAUUUUUUCCAAAAUCUGCUGGUGUUCAAGAGGUUUUUCCCUCCAGUAAGAGGGAGAGAAGCCCACAGCAUCACACGUCCUUCACCAUAAUUACCAUUGGGCAUUUUUAUCCUUCUUUUUAUGCCAGACCCAGCAGGAGUUUUUGUUAUCCAAAAUUGUAACUAAAAAUAAGCGCGAUUCCAGUUUCAUUGCAUGUUUACAUUUUCAGUGGUUGGACAGAAAUCUCCAAACUAAGAUGUUUAAUUCAAAAAUACUUUAUCGAUCCCAAAAUUAAAAUGUUGCUGUAAUUCAUAUUAUUCAUAUAUUCUUCAAAGAAUUGUUGUAGAUGGUGAUGGAUGUGGGCUGGGAAGAUCUCCUCUCUGUAUUACAGUGAAUUACUCAUGGUUGCCAUGGAGACUGGGUGACCGACCCCCACAUUGCCUCUUUUUGCCGUAGCUUUAUCAAGGGAAGCAAGACACAUCUACACUUGAAGUACAGACUGACCUCUGACCUCUGACCCCCUGACAAAUGUAGUAAUGCUGAGCACGUAAAUCCGCCGAAGCGCCUCCCGUGUUUGAGUUUUGUUGGCUGUAUGUGGGUCAGAGCUGCGGCUCGAUAAAAUAAACAUGAAAAAGUAAAAAAAA